rnacentral:sRNA from 2 species
ACAAAUGACAGCUAGGGUUCCGGCCACUUGUUCGCAAGCGGUGUCUGGUCCGAGAGCAGUCGGCCAGCAGCGGCCCACACCACUGCAGGUUCCACGGCGGGACAAAAGCCCGGGAGGU